AUACGGAGGGUGCAAGCGUUACUCGGAAUCACUGGGCGUAAAGCGCGCGCAGGCGGGCUGAUAAGUUGGAUGUGAAAGCCUACGGCUCAACCGUAGAACUGCAUCCAAAACUGUCAGUCUAGAGUGUGGGAGAGGAAGAUGGAAUUAGUUGUGUAGGGGUAAAAUCCGUAGAGAUAACUAGGAAUACCAAAAGCGAAGGCAAUCUUCUGGAACACUACUGACGCUGAGGCGCGAAAGCGUGGGGAGCAAACAGGAUUAGAUACCCUAGUAGUCC
rnacentral:rRNA from 1 species